GUGCUCACUUCAGCAGCAUAUACACUAAAAUUGGAAUGAUACAGAGAUUAGCUUGGCCCCUGCCCAAGGAUGACAUGCAAAUUCAUGAAACAUUCCAUAUUUUU
ensembl:snRNA U6 U6 spliceosomal RNA